ensembl:lncRNA
AGGGAACAAGGCACUGCCGGGCGCUCACGGGGCACAUCAGCAGGGGCACCUGAGGUCCCUCUGACAUCUCACUGCUGGGGAUGGAUGAAGGACCACUCUGCAGAAGGGGUGAAAGUUGUGGAGGUAACACUGCAGGGGACUGGAGCCUAUGAGAAACAGCUGAGCUCCAGCAUCAUCUGCUUUGUGGUGAUCCUCUGGCAUGAGAAGAUGGAGAGCAUCCCCAAAGGCAGCCGAGCAGUGGGAGGCACACCUGAGAUCCACCUGGUAGGAUCCACUUGGAGCUGAUGCAGCACUUCCCAGGAUGUGCACAGGGUCACACAGCUUUGGCUGGACUUGCAGGAGUGGUGCAGGCAUCCCUGUGCAACUGGAAAUCAGACAAAAUCUCCAGCAGAACGAGCAGCAAUAUGGUCAAAGUGAAGGGGAACGGAGAGGAGGAUGCGGAGGAGGAGGAAGUAACCUUGAAGGAUGCCAGCACCAUUCAGCGUAACCUUAUCAUGAGACGGGAACCGAGUGAUGAGAUGAGGACUGAGGAUACGGAGUUUUUAGCAGCAAGCGACCUCUGCCUCGCUGCCUAAAAACAGAGUGCACGUGGUACCUCCCUCGGCAGGAGAAGAUGCUUUUUUGUCUCUGACAUUUGCACUGAUUCUGUGCACGGGGUUUGGGAG